rnacentral:rRNA from 1 species
AGCUCGUAGUCGAACUUCGGGCUCUGUCAGCCGGUCCGCCUUCUUGGUGUGUACUUGUUUGACGGAGCCUUACCUCCUGGUGAACGGCGAUGUCCUUUACUGGGUGUCGUCGCAAACCAGGACUUUUACUUUGAAAAAAUUAGAGUGUUCAAAGCAGGCCUUUGCCCGAAUACAUUAGCAUGGAAUAAUAAAAUAGGACGCGCGUUCCCAUUUUGUUGGUUUCUGAGAUCGCCGUAAUGAUUAAUAGGGAUAGUUGGGGGCAUUUGUAUUCCGUCGUCAGAGGUGAAAUUCUUGGAUUGCCGGAAGACAAACUACUGCGAAAGCAUUUGCCAAGGAUGUUUUCAUUGAUCAAGAACGAAGGAAGGGGGAUCGAAAACGAUUAGAUACCGUUGUAGUCUCUUCUGUAAACUAUGCCAAUUGGGGAUCGGUACAGGAUUUUUAAUGACUGUAUCGGCACCCGAAGAGAAAUCUUUAAAUGAGGUUCGGGGGGGAGUAUGGUCGCAAGGCUGAAACUUAAAGGAAUUGACGGAAGGGCACCACCAGGUGUGGAGCCUGCGGCUUAAUUUGACUCAACACGGGGAAACUCACCAGGUCCAGACACAAUAAGGAUUGACAGAUUGAUAGCUCUUUCUUGAUCUUGUGGUUGGUGGUGCAUGGCCGUUCUUAGUUGGUGGAGUGAUUUGUCUGGUUAAUUCCGAUAACGAACGAGACCUUAACCUGCUAAAUAGACCAGCCGGCUUUGGCUAGCUGCUGUCUUCUUAGAGGGACUAUCAGCGUUUAGCUGAUGGAAGUUUGAGGCAAUAACAGGUCUGUGAUGCCCUUAGAUGUUCUGGGCCGCACGCGCGCUACACUGACAGAGCCAGCGAGUCUACCACCUUUGCCGGAAGGCAUGGGUAAUCUUGUGAAACUCUGUCGUGAUGGGGAUAGAACAUUGCAAUUAUUGUUCUUCAACGAGGAAUACCUAGUAAGCGUGAU